GACGAACGCUGGCGGCGUGCUUAACACAUGCAAGUCGAACGGUAAGGCCCUUCGGGGUACACGAGUGGCGAACGGGUGAGUAACACGUGGGUGAUCUGCCCUGCACUUCGGGAUAAGCCUGGGAAACUGGGUCUAAUACCGGAUAGGACCCUGGGAUGCAUGUCCUGGGGUGGAAAGCUUUUGCGGUGUGGGAUGGGCCCGCGGCCUAUCAGCUUGUUGGUGGGGAGAUGGCCUACCAAGGCGACGACGGGUAGCCGGCCUGGGAGGGUGACCGGCCACACUGGGACUUAGGUACGGCGCAGGCUCCUACGGGAGGCAGCAGUGGAGAAUAUUGCACAAUGGGCGCAAGGCUGAUGCAGCGACGCCGCGUGAGGGAUGACGGCCUUCGGGUUGUAAACCUCUUUCAGCACCGACGAAGCGCAAGUGACGGUAGGUGCAGAAGAAGGACCGGCCAACUACGUGCCAGCAGCCGCCGUAA
rnacentral:rRNA from 1 species